GAUGAACGCUGGCGGCGUGCCUAAUACAUGCAAGUCGAGCGAACGGACGAGAAGCUUGCUUCUCUGACGUUAGCGGCGCACGGGUGAGUAACACGUGGAAAACCUACCUAUAAGACUGGGAUAACUUCGGAAAACCGGCGCUAAUACCGGAUAAUAUCUUGAAGCGCAUGGUUCAAUAGAGAAAGACGGUGUUGCUGUCAGUUAUAGCUGCAUCCCGGCUGCAUUAGCUAGUUGGUAAGGUAAAGGGUUACCAAGGCAACGAGGCGUAGCCGACCUGAGAGAGUGAUCGGCCACACUGGAGCGGAGACACGCUCCAGACUCCUACGGGAGGCAGCAGUAGGGAAUCUUCCGCAAUGGGCGAAAGCCUGACGGAGUAACGCCGCGUGAGUGAUGAAGGUCUUCGGAUCGUAAAACUCUGUUAUGAGGGAAGAACAGAUGUGUAAGUAACUGUGCACUUCUUGACGGUACCUAAUCAGAAAGCCACGGCUAACUACGUG
rnacentral:rRNA from 1 species